UGGAACGAUGGUGAUGGAUGAUGGAA
rnacentral:piRNA from 1 species